rnacentral:rRNA from 1 species
CGAAGAACCUUACCAAAUCUUGACAUCCUUUGACAACUCUAGAGAUAGAGCCUUCCCCUUCGGGGGACAAAGUGACAGGUGGUGCAUGGUUGUCGUCAGCUCGUGUCGUGAGAUGUUGGGUUAAGUCCCGCAACGAGCGCAACCCUUAAGCUUAGUUGCCAUCAUUAAGUUGGGCACUCUAAGUUGACUGCCGGUGACAAACCGGAGGAAGGUGGGGAUGACGUCAAAUCAUCAUGCCCCUUAUGAUUUGGGCUACACACGUGCUACAAUGGACAAUACAAAGGGCAGCGAAACCGCGAGGUCAAGCAAAUCCCAUAAAGUUGUUCUCAGUUCGGAUUGUAGUCUGCAACUCGACUACAUGAAGCUGGAAUCGCUAGUAAUCGUAGAUCAGCAUGCUACGGUGAAUACGUUCCCGGGUCUUGUACACACCGCCCGUCACACCACGAGAGUUUGUAACACCCGAAGCCGGUGGAGUAACCUUUUAGGAGCUAGCCGUCGAAGGUGGGACAAAUGAUUGGGGUGAAGUCGUAACAAGGUAGCCGUAUCGGAAGGUGCGGCUGGAUCACCUCCUUU